UCCCUGGAGGAUUAGUGGUUAGGCCAUGGUGCUCUCACCGCUGCUGCCCAGGUUCGAUUCCUGGCCAGGGAA
rnacentral:tRNA from 1 species